rnacentral:rRNA from 1 species
ACAAAAAUGCACAUAUUGUGAGCUCGAUGAGUAGGGCGGGACACGUGGUAUCCUGUCUGAAUAUGGGGGGACCAUCCUCCAAGGCUAAAUACUCCUGACUGACCGAUAGUGAACCAGUACCGUGAGGGAAAGGCGAAAAGAACCCCGGCGAGGGGAGUGAAAAAGAACCUGAAACCGUGUACGUACAAGCAGUGGGAGCACGCUUAGGCGUGUGACUGCGUACCUUUUGUAUAAUGGGUCAGCGACUUAUAUUCUGUAGCAAGGUUAACCGAAUAGGGGAGCCGAAGGGAAACCGAGUCUUAACUGGGCGUUAAGUUGCAGGGUAUAGACCCGAAACCCGGUGAUCUAGCCAUGGGCAGGUUGAAGGUUGGGUAACACUAACUGGAGGACCGAACCGACUAAUGUUGAAAAAUUAGCGGAUGACUUGUGGCUGGGGGUGAAAGGCCAAUCAAACCGGGAGAUAGCUGGUUCUCCCCGAAAGCUAUUUAGGUAGCGCCUCGUGAAUUCAUCUCCGGGGGUAGAGCACUGUUUCGGCAAGGGGGUCAUCCCGACUUACCAACCCGAUGCAAACUGCGAAUACCGGAGAAUGUUAUCACGGGAGACACACGGCGGGUGCUAACGUCCGUCGUGAAGAGGGAAACAACCCAGACCGCCAGCUAAGGUCCCAAAGUCAUGGUUAAGUGGGAAACGAUGUGGGAAGGCCCAGACAGCCAGGAUGUUGGCUUAGAAGCAGCCAUCAUUUAAAGAAAGCGUAAUAGCUCACUGGUCGAGUCGGCCUGCGCGGAAGAUGUAACGGGGCUAAACCAUGCACCGAAGCUGCGGCAGCGACGCUGAUGCGUUGUUGGGUAGGGGAGCGUUCUGUAAGCCUGUGAAGGUGUGCUGUGAGGUAUGCUGGAGGUAUCAGAAGUGCGAAUGCUGACAUAAGUAACGAUAAAGCGGGUGAAAAGCCCGCUCGCCGGAAGACCAAGGGUUCCUGUCCAACGUUAAUCGGGGCAGGGUGAGUCGACCCCUAAGGCGAGGCCGAAAGGCGUAGUCGAUGGGAAACAGGUUAAUAUUCCUGUACUUGGUGUUACUGCGAAGGGGGGACGGAGAAGGCUAUGUUGGCCGGGCGACGGUUGUCCCGGUUUAAGCGUGUAGGCUGGUUUUCCAGGCAAAUCCGGAAAACUAAGGCUGAGGCGUGAUGACGAGGCACUACGGUGCUGAAGCAACAAAUGCCCUGCUUCCAGGAAAAGCCUCUAAGCAUCAGGUAACAUCAAAUCGUACCCCAAACCGACACAGGUGGUCAGGUAGAGAAUACCAAGGCGCUUGAGAGAACUCGGGUGAAGGAACUAGGCAAAAUGGUGCCGUAACUUCGGGAGAAGGCACGCUGAUAUGUAGGUGAAGUCCCUCGCGGAUGGAGCUGAAAUCAGUCGAAGAUACCAGCUGGCUGCAACUGUUUAUUAAAAACACAGCACUGUGCAAACACGAAAGUGGACGUAUACGGUGUGACGCCUGCCCGGUGCCGGAAGGUUAAUUGAUGGGGUCAGCGCAAGCGAAGCUCUUGAUCGAAGCCCCGGUAAACGGCGGCCGUAACUAUAACGGUCCUAAGGUAGCGAAAUUCCUUGUCGGGUAAGUUCCGACCUGCACGAAUGGCGUAAUGAUGGCCAGGCUGUCUCCACCCGAGACUCAGUGAAAUUGAACUCGCUGUGAAGAUGCAGUGUACCCGCGGCAAGACGGAAAGACCCCGUGAACCUUUACUAUAGCUUGACACUGAACAUUGAGCCUUGAUGUGUAGGAUAGGUGGGAGGCUUUGAAGUGUGGACGCCAGUCUGCAUGGAGCCGACCUUGAAAUACCACCCUUUAAUGUUUGAUGUUCUAACGUUGACCCGUAAUCCGGGUUGCGGACAGUGUCUGGUGGGUAGUUUGACUGGGGCGGUCUCCUCCUAAAGAGUAACGGAGGAGCACGAAGGUUGGCUAAUCCUGGUCGGACAUCAGGAGGUUAGUGCAAUGGCAUAAGCCAGCUUGACUGCGAGCGUGACGGCGCGAGCAGGUGCGAAAGCAGGUCAUAGUGAUCCGGUGGUUCUGAAUGGAAGGGCCAUCGCUCAACGGAUAAAAGGUACUCCGGGGAUAACAGGCUGAUACCGCCCAAGAGUUCAUAUCGACGGCGGUGUUUGGCACCUCGAUGUCGGCUCAUCACAUCCUGGGGCUGAAGUAGGUCCCAAGGGUAUGGCUGUUCGCCAUUUAAAGUGGUACGCGAGCUGGGUUUAGAACGUCGUGAGACAGUUCGGUCCCUAUCUGCCGUGGGCGCUGGAGAACUGAGGGGGGCUGCUCCUAGUACGAGAGGACCGGAGUGGACGCAUCACUGGUGUUCGGGUUGUCAUGCCAAUGGCACUGCCCGGUAGCUAAAUGCGGAAGAGAUAAGUGCUGAAAGC